rnacentral:rRNA from 1 species
UUAAAUUGAAGAGUUUGAUCAUGGCUCAGAUUGAACGCUGGCGGCAGGCCUAACACAUGCAAGUCGAACGGUAACAGGUUGCAGCUUGCUGCUUUGCUGACGAGUGGC